UGGGGGUUUUUUUUCCAGCUCUAGGAACUACUAGGUUCAUUGCUGAAAGAUUUGGGGUGAAAUUGUGGCCAAUGGGAAUUUUGCCAUCAACUUCAAAAGAUUCAAAUUUCAUCCUAGAUCUAUCUUAUUUGUUUAGCAAGAACAUGCUUAUUUUUCUAUUCUUUUUCUUUGUGCACAAACUGUCAGCAUUGCGUGAAACAAACCAUCUUGAUUUCCAGCGUGUUUUUCAAAAGCCGGGUGAUUGCCAAAAUUGCAAAUCCAAUUUGUUCACAGACUGACCAGUGUGUGAUCAUUCCAAUUAUAUUUGGCACAUGUCAAGUGGAAGAAUCAAACCUCCCUCUUUUUGGAUCACUUAUAACCACUUCAAAAAAUAAACUCCCAAUAUAAUUAGCUGCUGAAAUGCUUGGCGAGUUGCCCUUAAAAAAAUCCCCAUCAGGAAACACACCCCCUUGAUUCUUCCCGGGCACGUUCUUCAAUAACAGACCCAGAUCUUGUCCCCUGCACUAGCACUGAUUAGUGUAAUCCUCCUGGCUGCCUGUGGGUACCCCCAAAAACUGGUUUUCCCACAGCUGAGGUCCAGGAACUGUGUUACAUGAGAGCUGGACGAUGUGGCAAGACUCCCCCUUCAGAAGCUCCCAUUAAGCACAAGCUGCUGCUAAGCCCAUGUGCAAGCUGGAAGUGUGCAGCAGAGCUCACUGGAGCCCUUACCCCAAAAAACUCUUCUAAUUAUACAUGUUGAGGGUUUUUCACAAUGCAUCAGUGAAAAUGCAUUAUCCUGUCAAGCUGUCUGAAACCCUGUAUGGGAGCUACCUUUUCCAGAAUAAAUCUGCUUUAAAUCUUAAAAACAGUUUGAAUAAUCCUGCCAAAAUGCAGAGGAAGAGUCAGUGAACCAGUUACCUGGUUUUGCUGCUAUCUUGAAACACAAGAGCUUUUCCUCUUAUUUCUUUACAUUUUUGUGGGUUUUUUUGUCUUCCUUUCCAAUGGUUGUCAUGAGAAUCACUUCAAAACACUGAGAAACUGAGAAAGAGAAAAAUUCAGCGCUGAAGAAGGAAAGCAGAACAGCAGGUAAAAGUAUCAUGGAACUGAAGCUCAUUCAGCAGAACUACACUUUUUGAGAACAGUUUGGCAAGAGAGAAAACAUGCAUUUGGACUUUUCAAAGUCAUAUACUUUACCAUCAGAGCACUGGGGACCUCCCAGUGCCUAAUCCUUACAACAUAUUACUUCUGAAGACAAUUCUACCUCUACUCCCUGCUGUUGUUAGCAACUUUUGUGAGUACCCAUUUUGUGUGGGAAGACUUAUCAACUAAAAUAUUAAAUCAGGCCCAUCUCACAGCAGCCUCUGUAAAAGAAAGAAACGCUUUCCCUCUCCAUUAAUAUCUGCUUGAAACAGCACCUCAUGUUUUCCUGAUGAACUAUUUCCUGAUGAUUGCUUUCCAUUUUCCCCAUCUUCUCCAUCCCAGUUCAGUUCUCAUGUAGAACACAACCAAAGGCAUGUUUUAGACAAGACCAAAUGAUUUGGCUCUGCUUCAUCCCCCUUACCCAGGAAUAGCUUAGCACAAAAGUUGCCAGAUAAGCCUUACAGAAUCCAUAAUUGGUAAGUAUUGUUGCAUUUCUUCCACAUCUCUACUUAUGUUUUUCUUCAAAUUUGUUCAGCAAUCAUAAACACUGACAAAUGGAUCAGUACAUGCCUGACUUAUGCUUUUCUUUCAUUAAAUAUAGCUUGGAAGUUUAUUAUUCUCUAGUCAAAAGCUAGCACAGUCAAUGUGAUGGGUGUAUUUAUACUGGUUCCUACCAGACUUCUAGCUCUGUGUGCCAGUUCUUUCAGUGUUCUGGGAUCAUCUGAUGCCUCUGGCUGAACUGUGGUAAACUAUUUAAGACUGUCAUCUUGUAGUCAAUAUUGUUCACAUCCACAGGUCACUUCUUAUUGUUUUCUACCAUAGCAUCCCAUUGAAACAUGAAGAGACACUUCAUUUUAAGGGUAGAGUUUAUGUUCACAUACACUAUCUCAUGAAGUUGUGUGAGAUGGCUGCCAGAAGACUGCACUUUCAGGAGAAAAAUAGUUGUACUUGGAUGGAUAUGUAAACCCUAAUACAAAUAUUAUGAAAAUAGUGUUCAAACAGGUAAGAUACUGGAUCUUCCUUACCCUUUUUUAGUUAAGGAAAACAAUUAUUUCUAAGAGAACAGAUUAAAAACUUAUUAACAUCUAGAUGAUUUUGUUUUGUGUUGUAUUUCUGCUUUUUAAGGCACUGCACCAAUCCCCACUUUAAUGUGCAGUGUUGGGACUUUCUGCCUCUUCUUUAUAAAUGUGUAUUUCUGGAUGUCUAUAAAUUGGCCACUCAAGAUUGUUCCAGACAGAUACUUGGCUUCCAGACUCUAAGUGCAGAGAAGAAUGGUUUUCUUUUCCUCUUGUACUGAGAAAAUGUGAUAGUGUGUAAGCCACACCACUGGAAUGCAGUGCCCAAGGCUAUGCUGACUUGGAUGAAGGACAGGAGGGAUUGAAUGGCUGGAGAUGCUCACCUGCAGCAACCCCUCCAGCACUGGGGCUGCAGAGACAAUGCAGGGCCACAGCAGUGGCUGCCAGCCAGGGCACCUUUCCCACAUGUGCCUGAGCUCUUUGUGCAGUGAGGGGCAGAGAAAAAGGGAGUACAUAAAGCUGGAGCUACAUCUGUGUGGGCUGAAAUAUGUAAUGACCUCUGUUUAACAUGUAAGGGCUGACUAUGAGAGGUAUUUAACAUUCUUCAGACAUUGAUGCCUAUCUUUGGCUUUAGUAGAGAUGGUGCACAAUGGAUUCCAUCAGGAAAGACUAUCAGAUGGAUCUAAACAGCAAAGAUUUUUUCAGAUAGUCAGCACAAGGCAAGAAGCAGUUUUUACCCCACUGUACCACAGCUGAAACAUCUUGCAGAGCUUUAGUGACCAGCAGCACAGUGGUAGCCUCUAGUUUCUCACUUGGGCUUCUCCUGCUGCUAAAAAUGUAAGUUAUUUAUGAGGAGAAGGUCAUGUACCCACAUUUCAAGCUGUAAAUCAAGCCAGAAAACUCUCACAAUUUUGUGUAACUGUGCCAGAAGCUAAAGAAGUCUAAUAUGUAGGAGAAAUCACAUUUCAUUGUGCCUGAGAGAGAAGGACCAGAAGCUGGCGGCUGUAUCUGAAAAUAUUUGCAUUUACUGUCUUUAAGAUAAAACUAAAUAUGAUAAAACUAUAUUAUUUAAGAUAAUAACUAAAUAUGUUAUUAUCAUUUGGUUGUUUUUUUGGGUUUUUUUUUUUUUUUUUGGUUGGUUAAUCAGAGAUUUUUUGUUGUUGUUUUUUUCAGGGUUUUUUGUGUAUUGUUACAGCCCUAGCAGACUGGAGACAUGAGAAAGACAAAACCUGUAGGAAAAUAUUCUGUAUUUUGAGAUGCAAAAUGAUGCCUGUUAAGUGCUGAAAUCAGUCAACACUACUCUGUAGCCAUCACAGUAAGUGUCCCUUGCCAACAGAACUGAAGAGAAGAUAGACAGUUCACUGGUCCUCUUCUAAAUGUACUCUGCUUCAUCCAGGCAUCAAGGAGAGAACAGUGCUAUCAGGACACAGCUAACCAAGCUGCACUCAACAAGGUGAACACAUCCUCACUAAAAUACGUAAAAAUUAGGUUAGCAUUGGGAGAAUAUUUUUCAUAAAGUUGAGCUUUGAACCCCAUUCCCCUUUAAAAACUGAACUUAAAAAUUCAGCAUUACACUUGCUUUUUUAGACAGUAGAAAAACUUCAUUUUAAGCUUUCUCUUCCAUUAAUGUCUUUCUUUUCAUUUCACUAGAACUAAUGAUCUCUGUUCUCUCCUAAAUCCUUCACCACUCUACUCCUUUUUUUCAAUUUGUCUCAUUCAUUAAAAAGAUUAAAUUAAACUCAGAGCCAUUGUUCUGUUCUCAGCUUUUCUGAGUCUGUUCUUGACCUUUCUUAACUUCACAUUUGCUUCUUCUACCUCAGACACAAAGAAGGGUUAUUUAUCCCAUAUGCUACCUUUGUUUCACCUGUGCAGACACACAGCCAGGAUCUUUACAUCUUUUUUGGAAGAAUUUAAUUAUUUUAAUAGUACCUAUAAACUGAACCUCUUAAAAUACAAGGAAAAAAAAAAAAUUCACAGAACAGCCCAAGCUGGAAAGCUGGAAAAUACCUUGAAAGUUCCUCUGGUCGCAUCUUUCAUGAAAAAGGGAGCUUAGCUCUUAGUUCCUAUAAUACCUUAAUAUUAUAAAAUAGUGAAAAUAAUGGAAAUAAUCCAGUAAAUAGAACUGCUUACAGUAAAUAGAACCUUCUGCCACAAGGCAUUUCCCAUCUGAUUUGAAGGUGAAAGAUUUGCCUAGGACUCAGGCAGGCUGAAUUAAGUUAUCAGCUUAGGUCACUCACUUUGCCUACAUUGAGUAGGCAAAGUGAUAUUUGAUGUUCAAGUCCGUCCUUUAGAGGUCUUCUGUUAAUGAUGCUCAAAGAUCUGGUUGCAUAGUGCACUAAGUGAACCAUCAGUCACCAUGAAGGAACAUUUGUCUUGUGUUUCUAAACUACUUGUUUCACACAGCACAAGAACCUCUAAGCAAGUUGUUGUACUGGGGCUUGGUGUCCUGUACUUGGUACUGCCUGUGCUUCCAUGUGUGCUCAGUCAGAAAUCCCUAAUGCCACCUUUUCUAUUGCUGAUCAUCAGUAUUCUUGAAAAGGACAGAAAAUAAAAGUGCAUAUGUUUAAAA